rnacentral:tRNA from 1 species
GUCAGGAUGGCCGAGCGGUCUAAGGCGCCAGACUCAAGUGCAAACUUGCCUGUCUCAAAUAUGACGGGUUCAAUAUGGAGCGUUCUGGUCCUCUCUGAGGGCGUCGGUUCGAAUCCCACUUCUGACA